rnacentral:rRNA from 1 species
UACGGGGGGGGCAAGCGUUGUUCGGAAUUACUGGGCGUAAAGCGCACGUAGGCGGCUAUUCAAGUCGGGGGUGAAAGCCCGGGGCUCAACCCCGGAACUGCCCUCGAAACUAGAUAGCUAGAAUCUUGGAGAGGCGAGUGGAAUUCCGAGUGUAGAGGUGAAAUUCGUAGAUAUUCGGAAGAACACCAGUGGCGAAGGCGACUCGCUGGACAAGUAUUGACGCUGAGGUGCGAAAGCGUGGGGAGCAAACAGG